GAUGAACGCUGGCGGCGUGCCUAAUACAUGCAAGUCGAGCGAACAGACGAUGAGCUUGCUCCUCUGACGUUAGCGGCGGACGGGUGAGUAACACGUGGAUAACCUACCUAUAAGACUGGGAUAACUUCGGGAAACCGGAGCUAAUACCGGAUAAUAUAUUGAACCGCAUGGUUCAAUAGUGAAAGACGGUUUUGCUGUCACUUAUAGAUGGAUCCGCGCCGCAUUAGCUAGUUGGUAAGGUAACGGCUUACCAAGGCAACGAUGCGUAGCCGACCUGAGAGGGUGAUCGGCCACACUGGAACUGAGACACGGUCCAGACUCCUACGGGAGGCAGCAGUAGGGAAUCUUGCGCAAUGGGCGAAAGCCUGACGGAGCAACGCCGCGUGAGUGAUGAAGGUCUUCGGAUCGUAAAACUCUGUUAUUAGGGAAGAACAAAUGUGUAAGUAACUAUGCACGUCUUGACGGUACCUAAUCAGAAAGCCACGGCUAACUACGUG
rnacentral:rRNA from 1 species